rnacentral:rRNA from 1 species
AAUGCUUGGGAACAUGCCUUGAGGUGGGGGACAACAGUUGGAAACGACUGCUAAUACCGCAUAGUGUCUACGGACCAAGGGGGGCUUCGGCUCUCGCCUUUAGAUUGGCCCAAGUGGGAUUAGCUAGUUGGUGAGGUAAUGGCUCACCAGGGCAACGAUCCCUAUCUGGUUUGAGAGGAUGAUCAGCCACACUGGAACUGAGACACGGUCCACACUCCUACGGGAGGCAGCAGUGGGGAAUAUUGCACAGUGGGCGAAAGCCUGAUGCACCCAUGCCGCGUGUGUGAAGAAGGCCUUCGGGUUGUAAAGCACUUUCAGUCAGGAGGAAAGGGUGUGAGUUAAUACCUCAUAUCUGUGACGUUACUGACAGAAGAAGCACCGGCUAACUCCGUGCCAGCAGCCGCGGUAAUACGGAGGGUGCGAGCGUUAAUCGGAAUUACUGGGCGUAAAGCGUACGCAGGCGGUUUGUUAAGCGAGAUGUGAAAGCCCCGGGCUCAACCUGGGAACUGCAUUUCAAACUGGCAAACUAGAGUGUGAUAGAGGGUGGUAGAAUUUCAGGUGUAGGGGUGAAAUGCCGUAGAGAUUCUAAAGAAAUACCGAGGGCGAAGGCAGCCACCUGGGUCAACACUGACUCUCAUGUACGAAAGCGUGGGGAGCAAACGGGAUUAGACACCCCGGUAGUCCACGCCGUACACGAUGUCUACUAGAAGCUCAGAACCUCGGCUCUGUUUUACAAAGCUCACGCAUUAAAGUACACCGCCUGGGGUGUACGGCCGCAAGGUUAAAUCUCAUAUGAAUUGACGGGGGCCCGCACAGCGGUGGAGCAUGGUGGUUUUAUUCGAUGCACGCGAGACUUACCUACUUUGACAUACAGAGACUUCUAGAGAUAGAUUGUGCUUCGGAACUCUGAUACAGGUGCUGCAUGCUGUCGUCAGCUCGGUCGGAGAUGUUGGGUAAGUCCGCACGAGCCAACCUAUCUUAGUGCUACAGUAUGCUGAACCCUUAGACUGCGGUUAACGGAGGAGUAGACACCAGUCUAUGGCUUACGUAGUACGGUUCAUGGCCCAAGUCACUGGAGGGAA